CCUACGGGUGGCAACAGUGGGGGAUAUUGCACAAUGGGGGGAACCCUGAUGCAGCGACGCCGCGUGGGCGAUGGAGUGCUUCGGCAUGUAAAGCCCUAUCAGCAGGGAAGAAAAUGACGGUACCUGACUAAGAAGCCACGGUUAAAUACGUGACAGCAGCCGCGGUAAUAGGUAUGGGGCCAGGGUUAUCCGGAUUUACUGGGGGUAAAGGGAGCGUAGGCGGCCUGGCAAGGAUGAUGUGAAAUACCGGGGCUCCACACCGGGGCUGCAUUGGGAACUGGCAGGCUGGAGUGCCGGAGAGGCAGGCGGAAUUCCUAGUGUAGCGGGGAAAUGCGUAGAUAUUAGGAGGAACACCAGUGGCGAAGGCGGCCUGCUGGACGGUGACUGACGCUGAGGCUCGAAAGCGUGGGGAGCAAACAGGAUUAGAUACCCGAGUAGUC
rnacentral:rRNA from 1 species